GACCUCGGAUCAGGUAGGAUACCCGCUGAACUUAAGCAUAUCAAUAAGCGGAGGAAAAGAAACCAACC
rnacentral:rRNA from 1 species